rnacentral:tRNA from 1 species
UGGGGUAUUGCUUAGAGGUACAGUGCUCACCUAGCAUGUGUGAGACACUGGGUUCAAUCCUCAGCACCACAU